AGUCCGCUCUACCCCUGAGUCCUCUCCUCCCCAUGUGGAUGAGUCCCUUCUGCCCCUGUGGAUGAGUCCGCUCUACCCCUGAGUCCUCUCCUCCCCAUGUGGAUGAGUCCCUUCUGCCCCUGUGGAUGAAUCCUCUCUGCCCCCGUGGGUGAUAUCGCCGAGUGCACCCCUGAUCGCCGCCCAUGAGAAGCGACAGAGCUACAAGACUUUAGUCCUUGGAUACUUGGAGGAACGAGAUGAUCCUCAGGCAGGAGUCGAGAUUCCGAGAAACCUUGUGGAGGAGUUUGUAUUAGCGAAACUCCCUUGACCAGUGGCGCGUUUUAUGCCCUUCAGGUGACUGAGGCUUUGACUGAGCAGGCCACAGCGUCGUCUACUUUCGAGCCGAGGAGUGCAAAGAACCCGAGGACGCUUCUAG